UCCACUGGUCCACUGAUCAGCGGUCAAGAGUGGCAGGGAUUGUCCGCAAGUGAGGUGUUGCCAUUCUGGGGAGCUGGCCGGCUGCGCACAGCUGCUGCCGAAGCUCAAACGCUGAUCUCUUCCUCAUUUCUUCCGGCUGUCGACAGCAUCACAUCAAAAAGUACGAAUUCACAGGGGCGGUUGGGUGGCACACCAUGCAUAGGGCACAGAAACCCCAACUUUAUCCAUGCACCAUAUCCCGCGACCGCUAUGGGGAAGAGACACACAACGAAAACCUGGGAAACAUAUAACACGGCAUCGAAGCAACGCUGUCACAUUCUGUUAUGAUUUACACACCGUAGGACAUCGGUGAAGGCGUCUUUUCGCCGGAACACUUGUCCGGAGCAUUGCUUUUUUUCACUUACACCUAGCGGGCGGGAUGGUUGAGUAGGAUCCACUGGGGAAAAUAGGGGACCGGGUACAUGGUGGGGAAUUGGCUAUUUCAGGUACAAUUUCGGGGUUUUCGCGGCUGUUGUUCCUGAAUCUGAAACCCCAAGAAGGCUAGACCAGUACGCAGGCUGGGGCUUGAUGGCACCCAACAUCAUCAACUGCACAGUCUUGGCAGGGGGGUUCGACCUUGAGCAUACGAUUCGAUGUAACCUGUUGAGCGGAAAGGGAAAGACGGCUAGGAUUGUUCAAGACUCUUCCCCCUCGAGCUAUCGAAUCUGUCGUCCGCUUAGCAUAUUUCUGAACACAGCGCUAGAAGCCCAGACAACAUAUCCACCAAGCUCAAAAGGCGGUCCCAGAGAUUACUGCGAGACAGGAGACACAGCCAGGAGAGGAUGAGGAGAGGAGGAAUGACUCCCCACAGCCACGGUCGACGUGCUCGGAUCUUCACUCUUCGACCCGUUUUGCCUCGAGUUGUCGUCACCAGUCGGCCCUACGGUUCCAGCAAGACAACAUGAUAUACCCAAAGCGUUUUCACGGCUCUGUUUUUGUAUGUAGGUAUAGACAAUCAGUUCAGCGAGUAGUAUCGAUUCUGCAAUUCGACAUACAGAGAUCUUCAUUA